UCGCCACCUGUUUCCCCCACUACGCCCACAAAACGUCACCGUUUCAUUCUCACUCCUUCCUCACACCCUCUCUUUUUCCCCACAUUCCUUCGUUUCAUCUCAAUUCAAAAAUUCAUUCUUUUAACAUUAAUAAUAAUAAUUUUAUUGAAAUAAAUCAAUCAAAAAGGUAACUCCAAAUAUCUCCUCCAGCUUUUUACUGCUUCUUAAUUUUGAUCGACUAUGACCUUAAUUUUGAUCGACUAUGACGAUGUACUAAAGCUUCAAUUUUUUUCGGUUUUUUCAGUCAACGCUUUUGCUUCAAGAUUUCGUUUUACCUUCCUUGAAAAUUAAAGCUCACCUAAUUGAUACAAUUGAAACUCUUCUUUUAAGCUGGAAAUUGAUACAAUUUUCACUUCAUUUUUUCUUAACUUUGUAUCCAGAUUUGCUGCUUUUGUUUACAGUUUUUAUUUUUUUAAUAUUUUUCUGUGGAGCUAAGCAUGACUUUGGUUACAGCUUUAUAUUAUUUUAACAUAUAAUCAGACUAAUUUAUUGAAUUUUAUGGCAUGGUCCAUUUGACCAAAUAUUUUUGUUACUUGAACUGAUGAACACGAAUUUUGAAGUGAAUACGUGUGUUUGAUUGCCGGAUUUUGUAAGAUUCCUUUGUAGAAAUAUUUUAAUCCCACGAACAGUAUGAUUCAGUAAAUAGCUUUGGGAAUGGUAUUGAUUCUAUUCUUGUUUGUUUAUUCAUAUAAGAACUUUGAUGCAACCUUCAGAUUCCUUUUGAACCAUGUAGUUAUAUAUUUGGAUUAGUUUAUAGCAUAUCAACAGUUGAUUGUUGCAUUUAGAUGUUUUUUGUUACUUCCGCUCUUGAUUGCUUAUUAUAUGUUAGUUAAAGAGCAAACAUUAUACAAGUUCUUGAUUGAUUAGUGCUCUUUCGUAUAACGGGUUCGUGACUGAUGUUCACUUUCUUAUUUGACUUUGUUUAUGCAGUUCUUGUAGCGAGAUUGUGUAAUUUGAAUAUUCAGAUACUUCUGUAGCUGAUGGAUUCGCCAGAUAUUGAGUCUCCCUGGCUUUGUGCCGCUGGCGAAUCCUUCUGUGGGUCGUUUAAUAUACGUGUGGAGGAGGGGAAUGCAGCCGAUAUUUUACAUGUGCUGGAAGUUCCCACCUCUUCUGUACCCUAUAACUGUAGUAUACCCAAGCCACCCCCUCUCCCUAUUAAACCCUGUACAAAAAACAAAUAUCCCAAUAGAUUUUUACAUUGUAGAGACACUCAACGGACAACGGUGAAAUCAAGAAUAAAGUUUAAAGUUCAACGGACAAAUUAUUGCGAUAAAUUCUUGUAAAGCCGGUAUGAUUUAAUUGAUGCAUGAUUUAGCAUUUGAAAAGCUCAAGAGAUUAAUUUAAUUAAUUACUUUUCAUAAACUAAAAGGUUUUAUUUUUAUAAGAUAAAGUAUUUUGUGGUUUUGAGUAUUUUGAACUUAAAUGGAAAGUUUUGCAAUCUUUGAUUUUAAUAAGUAUUAUCUUGAAUUCCGGAGUUGGAUCUUUUUGCAAAUAUGUGAAAUGUUUUAGCCCAUACUAUAAUUUAUGAACAUUUUGAACUAAAGUGAAAAGUUUUGAGAACUUUGAAAAAUAUAGGUAUUAUGUUAAAUUUUGAAAAAUGACCUCUUUGAGAAAUAAUAAUAUAUUUGGGGCCAUAGCAUAAUUACAGAAAGUUUUGAAAAGACAAUUAUUAUUAGGAAAUUCUGAAAUUGGAUUUAUUUGUAAAGUUUUAUGACAUUUUUUGCUAUAGUAGAAUUAUAGAAAGGUUUGGGCCAAAGUGUAAUUUUAGUGAACAAUGUUACUGUAGUAAAAUUCAAAAAUAACGGUAAUAUCACUAUUACAAGCGGCUAACCGGAUAAAUCAAGCGGCUAAUCGCUUGGGCAUUAGAAUUUGGCUAUAACGACUAGGUUUCAAGUUUUAACUAUAAAAACUCAACUCCAACUUCAUUUUAAGAACCAAUGCAAGCGUAAAUAAGAUCAUAUAACAUAUAUUGAGCUUCAAUUUCGCAAAUCAUCAUUUAUUGAAUCAUUAUUGAGCUAUAAUUUGUUAUCUACUCUUAAAGAGAGUUUCAUUGUUGUGAUUUUCAUUUCUCAUCAAAUCUGCUGUACCGUACAUCCGCCUUGGCCGUACAGCAGAUGUACUAAAGCUUCAAUUUUUUUCGGUUUUUUCAGUCAACGCUUUUGCUUCAAGAUUUCGUUUUACCUUCCUUGAAAAUUAAAGCUCACCUAAUUGAUACGAUUAAAACUCUUUUUUUAACUGAAGAUUGAUACAAUUUUCACUUCAUUUUUUUCUUAACUUUGUAUCCGGAUUUGCUACUUUUGUUUAAAGUUUUUUAUUUUUUUAUAUUUUUCUGCGGAGCUAAGCAUGACUUUGGUUACAGCUUUAUAUUAUUUUAACAUAUAAUUAGACUAAUUUAUUUAUUUGUGGAUUUAUUAUUUUUAAAUAUGGUUUGAGACUUCUGAUGUUUCAAUAUUUAUUGCACACGUGUAGUGCAGUGGCUUUAAUGAAUGUGGUAUUGUAAAGUUUAAAGCUUUUUGCAUGUGAAUGAGUUGGUGUGUACUCUUUCAUUGAUGUUUAGAUUCAUGUAUGUGGUGAUCUCNNNN
rnacentral:lncRNA from 1 species